GGCUGGUAGUUUCGUGAAAGCUGACACAUUGCUCGGAGGACCCGCCUACCUGUGAGGGAGAGGGAUCUGCGAAGUCUAUUAAAAUGACAGCUCAGACUGUCCACGUCAACACUGAAACACCACCAUGGACUCUGUGGCUUUGGAACCAUCACUCUUCACAGUGAAAGCUGUUUUCAUUCUGGACAACGAUGGAAACAGGCUUGUGUCGAAGUAUUAUGACACAGAGCUAUAUUCCUCCAUGAAGGAGCAGAGGAAUUUUGAAAAGAAGGUGUUCAACAAAACGUACAAAGCCGAUCACGAAAUAGCGUUUUUGGAAGGGUUGACGAUCGUUUACAAGAGCAGCAUCGACCUCUUCUUCUACGUGGUGGGCAGUGCUCAGGAGAACGAGCUCAUGCUGAUGGCCGUACUGAACUGCCUCUUCGAGUCCCUCAGCCAGAUUCUGAGGAAGAACGUGGAGAAGAGGUGUCUACUGGACAACAUGGACGGGGUCUUCUUGGUCGUGGACGAGAUCAUCGAUGGAGGAGUGAUCAUGGAGAGUGACCCCCAACAAGUCAUCCAAAAGGUGAACUAUCGGAAUGUUUCCGAACAGGCCUAUGGUUUCGUCCUCUUUGAUUACAUCACUGGUAAUGUUGAGGGUCAGGGGGACAGGAGCCAGGGCUCGUAGCCCGAGAACAGAGGGAGAGAGAGAGAGGAUGGAUGAAGGAGCGCUGUCAGAGCAGAGCGUGGCUCAGGUUUUGCAGUCUGCGAAGGAUCAGAUCAAAUGGUCGUUACUGAAAUGAUCACGUCUGGAGACGAGAGAAGAGCCCCAAACGCUAAUUGAGUGAAUUGCAGUGUAUAUUUAUAUUUGUAGAACAGUGUAUACAUGUGAGGCACAGGUCUUGUUACAAUUAAAAAUGAAAGAGCUAGUAAGAAAGCGGGUAGAAGUAUGUAAGCUUUCUGUUAUGAAGGUACAAUCGUUUAUAUUUGUAUUAAAAUAGCCUAUAAUGGGUGUAAUCUACAGGGCCUUGUAAGGGAACAUUUUUGAAGAGUAUCCAUUUCAGGGUAACAUGGCAGGUAAUAUUUCUGCAUAUUAUUUUCCCUUUCUGUUGUGGUAUAAUUAGCAACUAGAACGCGCUGUUAUUUUUAUGAACUGUCAAGUGUUUGAAACACUUAGACAUUUCCCCUCGUUGUUAAAAAGAACAAGAAAAAAUUCUAAAAUGCACUGAAUUUCGGAUUUAGCCUUUUAAAUAAAAUUGUUUGUGUGUCAUGGCGUAAGGGAACAGAUAUAGCUAAAACUAAAUCCAUGCGCGUGAAUUUUUUUAUUUCUAUGGAAAAAGAAAGCUAAAAAGAAUUGGAACCUUGCACUGAAAUUCGCGAAAAGCUUAGCAGGAUGGCUCAUACCGCUUGGAUAAUAUACUAAUAUAGAUAAUAUAUCUACGUAAAGCUGAACGAAGACUUAACUUGCAGGUGCGAGUUCUGGCGUGUGUCUUUAUUAAAUGAUUGUAAUUUUUUGGAAUUAGUUAAGUUAGGCGUACUGCUGCUAUGGGCACAAACUUGUUCAUUUUUAUUUUAGAGCGCCAUACAAUCGUAAGAAAGUACUGAUUUACGUUCUAUUUUCAAUGAACACUAUAUUUCGUUACGUUUUCCCCCCGAAUGCGAAAUAACACUCGAACCUCUCGCCUAGAACGGUUAUUCAGGAAUUAUUAAAUUAUGCCUGUGACUCCGAUACCAAAGAUCGUAAAAGAAGGCCCACACUACAUUUUCCCUCUUGACACAUCGAUGAAAAGCAAUGUCAUUUUGUUUGCGCUAUUUUGGAGAAGAAGAAAAAAAGCAUUUACAUUUAUUUAUGAUUGCUUAUUUAUUUGGCAGAGCACUUUAAAAUGUGGAAUUAUAUAUUAAAUACUUAUCACAUGAGCAACAAGAACAAAAGAAAAACUGUACGCUGGCAAGAAAUGUCUGUGCAUUACACACCCAAAGUAAAUUGAUAAAAUGUCAACAGGAAUAUUCGUGUAAUGUUAUGCCAUUUCUUCAACCAUUUUUUUUGCUGUUACAAUAUACAAGCAAUAUAAAAACUGAUGCAAAUCACCACGUGUAACCUAUUUCAUUGUAUUGAUUAAAGAUUUACCAAUUAUGACUUCAUAUCCUUCAAUUGUUGGCCAAGAUUAAGAAAAUAUUAUUUUCCCAGAACGAUGCUCUUUGAAAUGGACUAAUCUUUGCAAUUUCCAUUUUUUGUUUUUGUCUAUUGCUGCACUGUCUCUCAAUACCCGUGCCGAUAUGUUUCCUUUUUGUAAUUGAGAAAUAAUAAAUAUUAUCUUUACCAUUAA